UACGGAGGGGGUUAGCGUUGUUCGGAAUUACUGGGCGUAAAGCGUACGUAGGCGGAUUAGAAAGUAUGGGGUGAAAUCCCGGGGCUCAACCCCGGAACUGCCUCAUAAACUCCUGAUCUAGAGUUCGAGAGAGGUGAGUGGAAUUCCGAGUGUAGAGGUGAAAUUCGUAGAUAUUCGGAGGAACACCAGUGGCGAAGGCGGCUCACUGGCUCGAUACUGACGCUGAGGUACGAAAGUGUGGGGAGAACAA
rnacentral:rRNA from 1 species